GCCAGCAGCCAUAUCACUCUGCAACUCACAACUGGCAACCCACUGAAGCUAAGCAGGUGUGAGCCUGGUCAGACCUGGAUGGGAGACCUCCUGGGAAAAACUAAGGUUGCUGCUGUAA
rnacentral:rRNA from 1 species